GACGAACGCUGGCGGCGUGCUUAACACAUGCAAGUCGAACGGAAAGGCCCUGCUUGCAGGGUACUCGAGUGGCGAACGGGUGAGUAACACGUGGGUGAUCUGCCCUGCACUUCGGGAUAAGCCUGGGAAACUGGGUCUAAUACCGGAUAGGAGCCAUUUUUAGUGUAAUGGUUGGAAAGUUUUUUCGGUGUAGGAUGAGCUCGCGGCCUAUCAGCUUGUUGGUGGGGUAAUGGCCUACCAAGGCGGCGACGGGUAGCCGGCCUGAGAGGGUGGACGGCCACAUUGGGACUGAGAUACGGCCCAGACUCCUACGGGAGGCAGCAGUGGGGAAUAUUGCACAAUGGGCGCAAGCCUGAUGCAGCGACGCCGCGUGGGGGAUGACGGCCUUCGGGUUGUAAACUCCUUUCGCUAGGGACGAAGCUUUUUGUGACGGUACCUAGAGAAGAAGCACCGGCUAACUACGUG
rnacentral:rRNA from 1 species